AAAUUGAAGAGUUUGAUCAUGGCUCAGAUUGAACGCUGGCGGCAGGCCUAACACAUGCAAGUCGAACGGUAACAGAAAGCAGCUUGCUGCUUUGCUGACGAGUGGCGGACGGGUGAGUAAUGUCUGGGAAACUGCCCGAUGGAGGGGGAUAACUACUGGAAACGGUAGCUAAUACCGCAUAACGUCGCAAGACCAAAGA
rnacentral:rRNA from 1 species